rnacentral:lncRNA from 1 species
CUCCUGAGUGUCCUGAAUGGAAUUCCUGGAGUUCAAUGUUGAAAAUAUAAAUGGAGCAUUUAAGUAGCAUAAGUUCACAGCAGAAAAGUUAAAUUUAAGUCUUAAAUCAGUAGUUAGUAUUAACAAUAUCAAGGUAUUCUUUUCUUCCAGGUUCAGUCUUGCAAGAUGAGAAUAAAAGAAGCUAUUUUCAACUGAAAAGUCUAUAGAAGAGAUUUUGGAACAAACAGGAGAAAAUCAGCAGGAUCUAAUCGUGAGGAGCAGAUUAUACUUCUCCAGAUGGAAUUCAAAUGUGAAUUUGCAGAAGUUUAACUUUGGUACCAGGGAAGUUGUUGGAGGCUGCAAACGUCUUCUUAUCACCUGGGAUGGCUUGGCUUCAAAUUGUGCCUUCCAAAGAGCAAUUUGCAACUGGCAUGGCCUACUGCCUAUAUAUUGUAAUUUAUGAAUUCAAUGGUGAGUAAAAUGGCUGUGUAUUCCCUAUUCUUGCUGCUUCCAAGUUCCUUUGUAAUACCCUGCCAGUUGAAUGAAAAUGAGAGUCUGGGGGAGG